CCAGUGUCAGACCACGCUAAGGCGUGCCACUCUGCGGGGAGUGCAGUCUGCGAUAGUGCCCCAGGAGGACUGGGU
rfam:West Nile virus strain EthAn4766, complete genome